UAUCGGCUUAAGAUGAGCCCGCGUUGGAUUAGCUUGUUGGUGGGGUAAAGGCCUACCAAGGCGACGAUCCAUAGCUGGUCUGAGAGGAUGAUCAGCCACACUGGGACUGAGACACGGCCCAGACUCCUACGGGAGGCAGCAGUGGGGAAUAUUGGACAAUGGGCGCAAGCCUGAUCCAGCCAUGCCGCGUGAGUGAAGAAGGCCUUAGGGUUGUAAAGCUCUUUCACCGGUGAAGAUAAUGACGGUAGCCGGAGAAGAAGCCCCGGCUAACUUCGUGCCAGCAGCCGCGGUAAUACGAAGGGGGCUAGCGUUGUUCGGAUUUACUGGGCGUAAAGCGCGCGUAGGCGGAUAGAUAAGUCAGAGGUGAAAUCCCGGGGCUCAACCCCGGAAUUGCCUUUGAUACUGUUUAUCUUGAGUGCAGAAGAGGUAAGUGGAAUUCCGAGUGUAGAGGUGAAA
rnacentral:rRNA from 2 species